CUCGGCGGGUCCUCAGCGGGGAGCAGCGGGUCCUCAGCGGGGAGCAGCGGGGAGCAGCGGGUCCUCGGCGGGGAGCAGCGGGUCCUCGGCGGGGAGCAGCGGGUCCUCGGCGGGGAGCAGCGGGUCCUCGGCGGGUCCUCGGCGGGCAGCAGCGGGUCCUCGGCGGGUCCUCGGCGGGCAGCAGCGGGUCCUCAGCGGGGAGCAGCGGGGAGAUGGACUGGGAUCAGCUGGAGCUCAACCCGAGGAUCACUGCAGCCGUGAGGAGAGCUAAACUGAAGUCUGUCAGGGAGGUGAUGUGUGUUUCUGGUCCGGACCUGCAGGGACUCACCGGUCUGUCCCGGUCAGACAUCCAGCAGCUGCUCACCGCUGUCGCCGCCGCCUGCAGGCGACACCCUCCAGUCCCGGCCCUCCUGCUCCAGCGUGGACAGUGUCCCCGGUUGGAGUCCGGCCUCAGACUCAGUGUUGGAUGUCCGGUCCUGGACGAGCUGCUGAGGGGGGGUCUGCCUGUGGGGGGCGUCACUGAGCUGUCAGGAGAGAGCGGAGCCGGGAAGACUCAGCUGGCUCUGCAGCUCUGUCUGUCUGUACAGUACCCACCACAGCACGGAGGACUGAACUCAGGAGCGGUGUAUAUCUGCACUGAGGACUCUUUUCCAAUCAGACGUCUGCAGCAGCUGAUCAGAGAUCAGUCCCGUCUGCGCUCUGACGUCCCUCCAGAUCUGAUCAGCAGACUCCAGUUCAGUGACAGAGUGUACAUUGAACACACCGCGGACCUGGAGUCGCUGCAGGUGUGUUUGUCCCGCCGUGUCCCCCUCCUGCUGGCUCGGGGGCUGGUCCGGCUCCUGGUGGUGGACUCAGUGGCGGCUCUGUUCAGGUCUGAGUUCCAGGCUGCUGAUUGGCUGGAGAGGACCAAACAGCUGCUCACCUUCUCCUCCACACUGCACCACCUGAGCCUGGAGUUCACCACACCUGUCCUCCUCAUCAACCAGGUUCCACACACACUCUCACACACACACACACACACACACACACACACACACACACACACACACACACACACACUCACACUCUCACACACUCUCACACACACACACACACACACUCACACUCUCACACCCUUUCACACACACUCACCCUUUCACACACACUCACACUUUCACACACACUCACACACACUCACACACAUUCACCCUUUCACACACACUCACACACGGCAUCAGGAGCAAUUCAGGGUUCAGUAUCUUGCUCAAGGAUACUUCGACAUGUGGCACCAGGAGCCGGGGAUCGAACCUUCCGAUUAAGGAACUACCCGCUCUGCCUCUGAGCCACAGCCGCCCAGUAGUAUUUAAGGUAGUAUUAGUAGUUCUGCAGUAGUAUCUAAGGUAGUAUUAGUAGUUCUGCAGUAGUAUUUAAGGUAGUAUUAGUAGUUCUGCAGUAGUAUUUAAGGUAGUAUUUGAAGUACUGCAGUAGUAUUUAAGGUAGUAUUAGUAGUACUGCAGUAGUAUUUAAGGUAGUAUUUGAAGUACUGCAGUAGUAUUUAAGGUAGUAUUAGUAGUUCUGCAGUAGUAUUUAAGGUAGUAUUUGAAGUACUGCAGUAGUAUUUAAGGUAGUAUUAGUAGUUCUGCAGUAGUAUCUAAGGUAGUAUUUGAAGUACUGCAGUAGUAUUUAAGGUAGUAUUAGUAGUACUGCAGUAGUAUCUAAGGUAGUAUUUGAAGUACUGCAGUAGUAUUUAAGGUAGUAUUAGUAGUUCUGCAGUAGUAUCUAAGGUAGUAUUUGAAGUACUGCAGUAGUAUUUAAGGUAGUAUUUGAAGUACUGCAGUAGUAUUUAAGGUAGUAUUUGAAGUACUGCAGUAGUAUUUAAGGUAGUAUUUGAAGUUCUGUCUCUCUCUGUGUUGUUUCAGGUCACCGAUGUGUUCGACAGCUCAGACGACAGUUUGGGCCCUAUGUCCUCCAACGUGUCACCAGCUCUGGGGUUGGCCUGGGCCAAUCAGGUGACGGUUCGGCUGAUGAUGCGGCGGCUCCAGGUGACGGUUGCCCGUGGUGACCAGUGCAGCGCCCUCCGCAGGCUGGAGGUGGUGUUCGCUCCUCAUCUGGCCCGAGACGGACGAGACGCCGCCGUGUGGAGGGAGGGCGUCCGCGGGGUCACAGACUGUACACGCAUACAACAGUCCCAUUGAAAUAUUUCAAUGUAGAUAAACACACACAGAUAAAUAACAAACACCUGUAUGAGAGCGUAAACAAACACAUUAAAGUGUUAACAUUCGUCUGAUGAUGUCACUGUUUCAGUCUAUAUAUGAACUUUGUGGCCAGAAGUGAGCGGACAGCCCUGGAGUCGCCUUAUUGAUUCAAUUCAAUUCAAUUUUAUUUGUAUAGCACCAAUUCAUAACAGAAGUUAUCUCAGGACACUUUUCAAAUAGAGCAGGUCUAGACCGAACUCUUUAACAUUAAUUACAGAGACCCAACAGUACCACCAUGAGCAA